rnacentral:rRNA from 1 species
UACGUAGGGUGCGAGCGUUAAUCGGAAUUACUGGGCGUAAGCGUGCGCAGGCGGUUCUCCAAGUCCGUUGUGAAAGCCCCGGGCUCAACCUGGGAAUGGCAGUGGAAACUAGGGGACUGGAAUCUGGCAGAGGGGGGUGGAAUGCCGCGUGUAGCAGUGAAAUGCGUAGAGAUGCGGCGGAACACCGAUGGCGAAGGCAGCCCCCUGGCUGAGAUUGACGCUCAGGCACGAAAGCGUGGGGAGCAAACAGG